rnacentral:rRNA from 1 species
GGGGCGCGAAUCCUUGCUACGACUUCCCCCAGUCAUGAAUCACAAAGUGGUAAGCGCCCUCCCGAAGGUUAAGCUACCUACUUCUUUUGCAACCCACUCCCAUGGUGUGACGGGCGGUGUGUACAAGGCCCGGGAACGUAUUCACCGUAGCAUUCUGAUCUACGAUUACUAGCGAUUCCGACUUCACGGAGUCGAGUUGCAGACUCCGAUCCGGACUACGACGCACUUUAUGAGGUCCGCUUGCUCUCGCGAGGUCGCUUCUCUUUGUAUGCGCCAUUGUAGCACGUGUGUAGCCCUACUCGUAAGGGCCAUGAUGACUUGACGCAUCCCCACCUUCCUCCAGUUUAUCACUGGCAGUCUCCUUUGAGUUCCCGGCCGAACCGCUGGCAACAAAGGAUAAGGGUUGCGCUCGUUGCGGGACUUAACCCAACAUUUCACAACACGAGCUGACGACAGCCAUGCAGCACCUGUCUCAGAGUUCCCGAAGGCACCAAUCCAUCUCUGGAAAGUUCUCUGGAUGUCAAGAGUAGGUAAGGUUCUUCGCGUUGCAUCGAAUUAAACCACAUGCUCCACCGCUUGUGCGGGCCCCCGUCAAUUCAUUUGAGUUUUAACCUUGCGGCCGUACUCCCCAGGCGGUCGACUUAACGCGUUAGCUCCGGAAGCCACGCCUCAAGGGCACAACCUCCAAGUCGACAUCGUUUACGGCGUGGACUACCAGGGUAUCUAAUCCUGUUUGCUCCCCACGCUUUCGCACCUGAGCGUCAGUCUUUGUCCAGGGGGCCGCCUUCGCCACCGGUAUUCCUCCAGAUCUCUACGCAUUUCACCGCUACACCUGGAAUUCUACCCCCCUCUACAAGACUCUAGCCUGCCAGUUUCGAAUGCAGUUCCCAGGUUGAGCCCGGGGAUUUCACAUCCGACUUGACAGACCGCCUGCGUGCGCUUUACGCCCAGUAAUUCCGAUUAACGCUUGCACCCUCCGUAUUACCGAGGCUGCUGGCACGGAGUUAGCCAGUGCUUCUUCUGCGAGUAAGGGCAAUCACUAAGGUUAUGAACGUAAAUGCCUUCCUCCUCCCUCAAAUACAUUAACAACCCUAAUGCCUUCUUCAAACCCGCUGCAUGGCGGCAUCAAGGUUGGGCCCAUUGUGCAAUAUUCCGAGAGGUUGCUGCCCGUAGGAACCUGGACAGGGGGCCAUUUCAAAGGGGGCCGGUCAUCCGUGCGAAACAGCCCACGAAAAAAAGGCAAAGGGGGGCCCCUUGGCAGCGAGCAACCUAAUCACCCUGGGGCCA